rnacentral:misc_RNA from 1 species
AAGAAAGAAUAGAUUUUCCUAUGUCUACUCAAACUUGAUCAAUCUAUAAUUUUAUUAAUUAUAUUCUUUUGUGUGUGUGUAUUCACACGAGUUGUUACAGUUAAGAAGAAGAAGAGAGAGAAAAAAAAAACUAAUUAAGUUUCCAACUUCCAUCAUCACAUGGGGAACAACCUUCUUGAGCAAUGUCAGUGAUUUGAAGUCCAGUAUCAUAAACCACCCCAUUUUUCCAAUCUGAUGGCAGCACUGAUUUAGCCCAAAUCCACUUGCCAUCGUACCCUGCUGUCACUACAAACCUGAAUUGCAAUGCCCCACUUGGCACUCUGCUUGUAUCCCAAAUUGCUCCGUGGUUUCGGCUCAAGAAGUUCCAGUUCGACGAUCCAACCUGAGCAACAUCAACACUGACAAUUUCAGUUUGACCACCCUGGUAGAAGAUGCUAAUUGCUAGGUAAUGCGGCUUCUGGCUUGAUUCAUCUACUCGAACAGCCAAAUUCUUGCCUUUGUAGUCACAAGGAACUCUUUUGUAUUCAACAUCGGCGAUUCCCAAUUUGUGAACAUCUUGAGCUUUUCCCUCAAUGGCCAUAGCCAUAAAAGCUCUGCUACUGAUGACAAAAUCAGUCUGGUUAUUCGUAUUUAGAUCAGUAACCAUCACAGUUGUUCCAUGUUUUGAACAAAUUUUUGGGUCCGUACAUCUUAUCUGAUAACAAGCACCACAACCAGCACCAUUAUCGUAAAGUUUAGGAACAGCAGCGGCAAGUCGACCUCCAUUGAAUCCUAUUGCUAAAUUUCCAUAACCACAAGCACCCGAGAGAAGCGCGGAAGAACUGGAAAAAUAAGCAACUUUGGAUCGGUGAACACAGCGAUCACAGGCUGUAACUGAAGAGACGAAAAGAAGCAAGACAAGGAAGAAGAGAGACAUAUUUAUGUAUUUUUUGUUAUAUGAAG